GGCUUAGUGGUCUAGCGGUAUGAUUCCUGCUUUGUGGGCUGGCGGUCCCGGGUUCAAGUCCCGGCUGAGCCC
rnacentral:tRNA from 1 species